CGAGCACGAUGCCGCGCAGGAAUGUGAAAGGCUCCCGCCCGCCGCCAUUUUCUUUCUUUCUUGGCAGGCAGCGAGUAGGGCAGGAAGCGGCGGCGGAGCGGCUAUGGCGGAUUAUUCCACGGUGCCCCCUCCUGCUUCGGGCGCGCCCGGAGGAGGAGGAGGAGGUGGAGGUGGGGGAGUCAACGAUGCCUUUAAAGACGCACUGCAGCGGGCUAGGCAGGUGUGUAAUGUGGGCACCAGCCCAUCGGUAGCUCCGACCCUCAGGCUCGGGGGCCUGGAAGCGGCCCCCGAUAGGGCCUCCUCUGAUCCUCAGCGCCGGAAUCUCCCCUCUACCUAUUCUGGGACAAAUAGGAUUGCAGCGAAAAUUGGAGGUGAUGGAGGCACAUCAAUGAAUUCAAAUGAUUAUGGUUAUGGAGGACAAAAAAGACCUCUUGAGGAUGGAGAUGGCUCUUGGACAAGUCCGAGCAGUACAACACACUGGGAGGGAAUGCCCUCUCCUUUUAAAGAUCAACCAGAUGCUAAGAAAGUUGCUCCUCAGAAUGACUCUUUUGGAACCCAGCUACCCCCGAUGCAUCAGCAACAAAGGUCUGUAAUGACAGAGGAGUACAAAGUUCCAGAUGGAAUGGUUGGAUUCAUAAUUGGCAGAGGAGGAGAACAGAUUUCACGCAUACAGCAAGAAUCUGGAUGCAAAAUACAGAUUGCUCCUGAUAGCGGUGGCCUGCCUGAUAGAUCUUGCAUGUUAACUGGAACACCCGAGUCUGUUCAGUCUGCAAAGAGACUGCUUGAUCAGAUAGUUGAAAAGGGAAGACCUACACCUGGCUUUCAUCAUGGUGAUGGACCAGGAAAUGCUGUCCAAGAAAUUAUGAUUCCAGCUAGUAAGGCAGGAUUAGUUAUUGGAAAAGGUGGAGAGACCAUUAAGCAACUUCAGGAACGAGCAGGAGUCAAAAUGGUCAUGAUUCAAGAUGGGCCACAGAACACUGGUGCAGACAAACCUCUUAGGAUUACAGGAGACCCUUACAAAGUUCAACAAGCCAAGGAAAUGGUGUUGGAGCUGAUUCGUGAUCAAGGUGGCUUUAGAGAGGCGCGCAAUGAAUAUGGGUCAAGAAUAGGAGGAAAUGAAGGGAUAGAUGUCCCAAUACCACGAUUUGCUGUUGGUAUUGUAAUUGGAAGAAAUGGAGAGAUGAUCAAAAAGAUACAGAAUGAUGCUGGUGUUAGAAUCCAGUUUAAGCCAGAUGAUGGAACAACUCCAGAUAGAAUAGCCCAAAUUACAGGACCUCCGGACAGAUGUCAACAUGCUGCAGAAAUUAUUACAGACCUUCUUCGAAGUGUCCAGGCUGGUAAUCCUGGUGGUCCAGGACCUGGUGGUCGAGGAAGGGGUAGAGGCCAAGGCAACUGGAACAUGGGGCCACCUGGUGGAUUACAGGAAUUUAAUUUUAUUGUACCCACUGGAAAAACUGGAUUAAUCAUUGGAAAAGGUGGUGAAACUAUCAAAAGCAUAAGUCAGCAAUCUGGGGCUAGAAUAGAACUUCAGAGAAAUCCUCCACCAAAUGCAGAUCCUAACAUGAAGUUGUUUACUAUCCGCGGGACACCACAACAAAUUGAUUAUGCUCGGCAACUUAUAGAAGAAAAGAUUGGAGGUCCAGUAAAUCCUUUGGGUCCACCUGUUCCUCAUGGGCCCCAUGGUGUUGUUCCUGGCCCACAUGGACCUCCUGGACCACCAGGUCCUGGCAAUCCUAUGGGACCGUAUAAUCCUGCUCCUUAUAAUCCAGGGCCUCCUGGUCCUGCACCUCAUGGCCCUCCAGCCCCAUAUGCUCCACAAGGGUGGGGAAAUGCCUAUCCACACUGGCAGCCACCAAAUCCACCAGAUCCAGGUAAACCAGGAACAGACCCCAAUUCAGCAGCAUGGGCAGCUUAUUAUGCUCACUAUUAUCAGCAGCAAGCACAGCCGCCACCUGCAGCCCCUCCUGGUGGACCACCUACGACCCAAACUAAUGGACAAGGAGAACAACCAAAUCCAGCACCAGCAGGGCAGGUUGAUUACACCAAAGCUUGGGAAGAGUACUACAAAAAAAUGGGUCAACAAGGGCAGCCACAAGAUUAUUCAAAGGCUUGGGAGGAAUAUUACAAGAAGCAAGGUCAAGCAGUUCCAGCUCCAGCUGGGGCCCCCCCAGGUCAGCCUGAUUAUAGUGCAGCAUGGGCUGAAUACUACAGACAGCAAGCAGCAUAUUAUGCCCAGACAAGUCCACAGGGAAUGCCACAGCAUCCUCCAGCACCACAGUGCAGGUUUGAUCCAGCCAGUAUAGAACUAGCUCUAUAGGGGUGAGGAGGACUGUGCUGUGUAUCAUCCUUGAUUGUUCCUUCAAGGAGCAUUGCACUUGCCUUCCCAGACCUUCCACCUUAGGUUCUGCUGCAAAAAGCAACAGGUAAGCACAACCUAAGGAAGUAUAUAAAUACAUAUUUCAGUACAUUAAUGUUGUCCCUGUGAGAUUUUUGUGGUUGUGUAUUCAAAAGCAAUCUGCUGAUUUCCCCAAAUGCAUUCUGUUACUCAUGGUUCCAUUUCAGUGGAAAGUCUCUCAGUUGUUUAAACAACCGUUCACAUUUCUGGGUAAAUGUAUCUUUAUUUUUUAGAAAAGAUGAGUGGAUUGCUGCAAUAAUUAAACUUAAUCUGAAUAAGUCAUUUUUUGUUACUUUUUCCUCAAAUAGCUGAAUUGUAACAAUUUAACAAAGGAAAACAAAACUUUUUUCCCCCCAAGAUGCAGGAAAUACUUGGUUAGAAACUUCAACAGCCUUCACAAAUGUUUUUAUAAUUGGCAGGUCAUUAUUCCCACCCCACCCCUAAAAGCUAAAUAGAAUACUGUGUGUUUCUCUUGUCACUGGAACUGAUAACUUGACUUUUUAAAGAAGUUAUACAACAUAAUAUUAGUGAAUUUUUUAGAUAAACUAGUUUGCUUAUCCAUCUGAUAUAGUAGGAAAAUUGACACAAGUUUUGCAGAAUAGUAUGUCUUACUAGAAAGCAUGUGCACAAGUGAAAUGUUAACUGUAUGGCAAAUAAUCUUUUCAGUAUCUAUAUAGCAAUCAGUAUUUUCUGUUCUUUGAUACUUUAACUGAAUUGCUGUAUACUUUUGCCAGUUUAAAAUGUUUGUUUUAUUCAAUGGUCUGGUACAGUUUUUUAGUUAAAGCAGCAUCUCAUCAGUUUUUGUUUAUUCAAUAUAUAAAAUGUGCUGAUCCUUUUUCAAAAGUCCUGCUUAUAUCUAUAUCAAAGAAAAAUAUUCAAAAAUACUGCCUUCAUUUUCACACACAGUGCUGAAGAUGCUGCAAGCACCAAAUCAUAGCUCAUAAAAUCAGGUCCUGAGAUAGUUACUACCAAUAAAGAGGAAUCCUUUGAGUGUAUGCCAUUGGUGAGCCGAUGAGCACGGACCAUAGAAGGGGUCCAUGUAGAAGGUAAAAUUGGCAAAACAUGUAUCCCAUACAUAAUGGUGUAGGGUAUAAUUUUUCUGUCUGAUCACUUCUCAUUCUUUAAAGUGCUAUUUGCUUGACCAUAAAUGUUCAAUAAUCUGUUUAGUUUUAAAAACUAUGUGGCUAAUAAUAUUAAACUAUAUAUUUUAAUUUAUAUUCUUCUGAGCAGUCAAGCUUAGAUAUAUUUACCUUCUGAAAUUAAUAGUUGCACUUAAUUCCCUUAAGCCACUUCAUUUUUGUUUACUUGUAGUUUGAUAUGUAACUCACAUUUAUUUUUCACAUGAGAACUAGGUAUGUACCCUAGUGGGUUUUAAAUCCUAAGAAUUUAUUGUCUGGGGCGGGAUUUCAGUUUCACUUCCUUAAACAUGCUGCUUUUUAUUUCACCGUUACGUGAAUAUUUUAAUAAUUAAAAUCUUAAAUUGAGUAAAUUUAGCAAGUGGGAGGAAAUAGAAAAGACAGGCCAGUUAUUUGGAUUAAUGAGGGAAUGUGAAAGUCAUAAUGGCUUCAGUUUAGUGUUUGUGGCAUAUUGAUUUUCAGCUCACUUAUUGCUGGACUUAUAGGCAUAUUUUAUGCUAAGUGUAGUGUUAUUAUUUAAAUCAGUCUCCAAACAGUAUUUCUUUUUAGAGGACAGAAGAUCAUUAAAUUACUAGAAUCUUAUUUCUGAGCAAAGAUUGUUUUGUGUUUGGUAGAAAAGUAAUUGAACUUUCCAAAAUGGGACGUUAAAUAAAUAUAUCUUGAUUUGAUAGAACCUCGCAAAUGAAAUAGGAAGUUGAGAGUACCGCAGUUUUAAAAGGGAAGUAGGGGAAGUGUAAUGUUUAAUAUAGUAAAAGCAUUUACAGAUCACUUUCUUCAGCCUUUAUACUGUAGGACAUGGCAUGAAAUACAAUGUCAGCUGGAAGAAUAACCUUCAUUUAGAAGUAUUAUAGUGUGUUUUGGUGUCCAGGCAGGUUGUAUUAUUAUUCACUGCACAGCCUAUCUUACGUGAAAUAUUUCUUCUUCUUCCAUAAAAGUUUUAUUGGAUGCUAGAAACUAUUUUCCCCCCUCAUGAAAUAGCUUUUCUAUGUUUCCUUUGCAUGUUGUAAAUUGGCAAAAUUUGGGCCUUCCAGUAAGCAUACAGUUGACAGGGUUCCCUCAUCCCUAGUAAUACCCUAUAAAACUCUCAUGUAUAUGCACAUAUUUCUCUUAUGCAUGUGAGAUGCAUUUUCGUCCUGAGAAAAGUGUUCUCUACAGAAACUACCCGUGUGUAAAAAGAAGAUUGGCUUUAUAAGGCUACUGUGAUGGGAAGUGUCUUAGGGAGAUGCAGCUUGGACUUGAGGUAAAUUGAAUGCUUUACAAAAUGUGGUUUUGAGCUUGCAUUAUUGACAUUGUAUGUAAUAUGGGUACACAUUAACUGUAUAACAUUUUUGUAUGGUUUUAUGAUUUUCUCAAUAAAUGUAAAAUGAUGGAUAGUACAAAAUAA